ACUCUUCCAAUCCGCUGAACAAUGCCUUAUAUUCAAGAUGUCAUCCUUGGAUGACUAUGGUGAUAAAUGGCUUGCGGAAUAGCUGUUGCGGACCCGGGGGCAGUACCCGGCGCCUCCACCAGUUUCGUUCGGACCGAGUGGCCGUGCGCCGCUCGGGAUCCGGCUCAAGACGGGGGCGAACCAGGAUCGACGUGCAGUAAAAGGUAUGCUUUUCACCCGGUAUUGUACCACCGUUAUCGGGCUGAUACUACAAAUGCUAACGACAAUGAUCGUGUGGCACUCGCUGCUUAGUUUCUGAGCAAGCGCGGUUCGGGAGGCACCGGGCAACAGAAGCCUCCCACU
rnacentral:tmRNA from 1 species